rnacentral:piRNA from 1 species
UUCCGAAGGUCCCGAGUUCAAAU